rnacentral:rRNA from 1 species
AGCUCGUGUCGUGAGAUGUGGUUAAGUCCCGCAACGAGCGCAACCCCUACGUUAGUUGCUAACGCGUGAAGGCGAGCACUCUAGACGAACUGCCGUUGACAAAACGGAGGAAGGUGGGGAUGACGUCAAAUCAUCAUGCCCCUUAUGUUCUGGGCUACACACGUGCUACAAUGGCCGGUACAGACGGACGCAAAGCCGCGAGGUGGAGCAAAUCCUAAAAAGCCGGUCUCAGUUCGGAUUGCAGGCUGCAAUUCGCCUGCAUGAAGUCGGAAUCGCUAGUAAUCGCAGGUCAGCAUACUGCGGUGAAUACGUUCCCGGGCCUU